rnacentral:rRNA from 1 species
GUACACGCUGUGACUAGCAUAUCAAUAAGCGGAGGAAAAGAAACUAACAAGGAUUCCCUCAGUAACGGCGAGUGAAGCGGGAAGAGCUCAAAUUUGAAAUCUUGAAAGGUCACCUUUCACGAAUUGUAGUUUAAAGAAGUGUUUUCUGUUACGAUCGUAAUAUAAGUUCUUUGGAAUAGGACAUCACAGAGGGUGAGAAUCCCGUCUAUGAUUGCGAUUUGUAGCUUUGUGAUACACUUUCAAAGAGUCGGGUUGUUUGGGAAUGCAGUCCAAAACGGGAGGUAAAUUUCUUCUAAGGCUAAAUAUUGGCGAGAGACCGAUAGCGAACAAGUACCGUGAGGGAAAGAUGAAAAGAACUUUGAAAAGAGAGUUAAAUAGUACGUGAAAUUGUCAAAAGGGAAGCGUUUAACACCAGUGUUGUUUUCUGAAAAUCAACCUCUGUUAGCUUUAUGCAUGUUUGUUUAGACCUAAUCAGCUAUCUUGCAUGUUCUAUUGUUUGCAGUGGUGCACUUUUCAGUUUACAGGUCAACAUCAGUUUUUUUUACCGUAAAAAAGUUAAAGAAAGGUAGCUCAUGGCUCCGGUCGUGAGUGUUAUAGUCUUUUUCCUAUGCGGUAGGAGAGACUGAGGUCUGCAGUGUAGGCUAUUUGGCUAGAUACUCAGGUGCUAUGUGAUACCAUUUCAUAAACAACUUGUUGAUUAUGUUUUGUCUAUUGCAUACUCGCUUGUACUAUCAUACCUACGCUUAGGAUGUUGAACUACUGAGACAUAGA